UUUUCUUCACAUAAAAGCACCCCUUUUUGUCUUUCUUUCACCAUUGUUGCAAGCUUUUCAAUGAAUUUUUAUUUUCAUCAAAUGAAAAAUUAACUUGAGCAAAUUCAACAGUGGACUAAAUACAAGUACAUGAUCACAAAAAUACAUCAAUACACAAAAUCACAAAUCCAAAUUCUUUCACAUUAACUAAAAUCCAAAAUCCCAAAACUCUCAAAUUUUCAAUCUUUUACUCAAAAAUGUCUACAGAAAUGGUAUAAACAGUCCCAAAUUCAGAAGUGGCAUAGAUGGUAUUCGCAUGACAUGAAAUUCUUGGCCUAGAACCAAACUUGUUCAUCAAUCUUGAAGCUCUCUUGAUUGUCGAAAAAUAAAAUUUUAGAUCAAUUAGAACUUGAUAGGAAGGGGAUUACGAAGAAACGGGGUAAGGAUAUGAAGAAGGUGAAGAAAUGGAGUGUUAGGAGGUGGAGUGGGAAUGGAAAAGGGGAGUGAGAAGAAGAUGAAAAUGUCUUCUGAUGAAGAAGACAUGCCCUUU
rnacentral:lncRNA from 1 species